rnacentral:rRNA from 1 species
CGGGGUGCACCAGGCGCGAAAACUUUACAAUGCGGGAAGCCGUGAUAAGGGGACACCGAGUGCCAGCAUCAUAUGCUGGCUGUCCAGGUGUGUAAACUACACCUGUUAGCAAGGGCCGGGCAAGACCGGUGCCAGCCGCCGCGGUAACACCGGCGGCCCGAGUGGUGAUCGUGAUUAUUGGGUCUAAAGGGUCCGUAGCCGGUUUGGUCAGUCCUCCGGGAAAUCUGACGGCUCAACCGUUAGGCUUUCGGGGGAUACUGCCAGGCUUGGAACCGGGAGAGGUAAGAGGUACUACAGGGGUAGGAGUGAAAUCUUGUAAUCCCUGUGGGACCACCUGUGGCGAAGGCGUCUUACCAGAACGGGUUCGACGGUGAGGGACGAAAGCUGGGGGCACGAACCGGAUUAGAUACCCGGGUAGUCCCAGCCGUAAACGAUGCUCGCUAGGUGUCAGGCAUGGCGCGACCGUGUCUGGUGCCGCAGGGAAGCCGUGAAGCGAGCCACCUGGGAAGUACGGCCGCAAGGCUGAAACUUAAAGGAAUUGGCGGGGGAGCACAAGGGCGAAUU